GACGGAGGAUGCAAGUGUUAUCCGGAAUCACUGGGCGUAAAGCGUCUGUAGGUGGUUUAAUAAGUCAACUGUUAAAUCUUGAGGCUCAACCUCAAAAUCGCAGUCGAAACUAUUAGACUAGAGUAUAGUAGGGGUAAAGGGAAUUUCCAGUGGAGCGGUGAAAUGCGUAGAGAUUGGAAAGAACACCAAUGGCGAAAGCACUUUACUGGGCUAUGACUGACACUGAGAGACAAAAGCUAGGGUAGCAAAUGGG
rnacentral:rRNA from 1 species